AAUGGACUCAAGAAAAAGAAAGCAGAGGCAAGACGAGUCAGAUUUUGAUACAGAAUCUGAAUCUGAACCAAGUGAUGAGAGCGAAGAAUCAUCGCCUGCGGAGAAGGAGAAGAAAAAGAAAGAAACAAAAACAACUCCAAAAAAAACACAACAAAAAAAGAAAAAAGUUGUUGUGGAGGAUUCACCUCCUGAAGAAGAUCAAUACUUUGACGGUGAGAGAUAUGAAAUAUCAAGUGACGAACUCGAUGAAUGGCUAAGGGAAAACGUUGAUAAAUCUGCUGCAGAGGGGGAGAACCAAGCUGACCUGCGAUCGACAGAAGGUCGCUAUGUGUCCUCUGAAACGUAAGAAGCUUUAUUAUUUAAUAAAAUCUUGUUAUCAUGAUUUGGAUGUAUUCUGUGAAACAAUUUG